UACGUAGGGGGCUAGCGUUGUCCGGAAUCAUUGGGCGUAAAGCGCGUGUAGGCGGCCCGGUAAGUCCGCUGUAAAAGUCGGGGGCUCAACCCUCGAAAGCCGGUGGAUACUGUCGGGCUAGAGUACGGAAGAGGCGAGUGGAAUUCCUGGUGUAGCGGUGGAAUGCGUAGAGAUCCGGAAGAACACCGGUGGCGAAGGCGGCCUGCUGGGCAGUUUAGCUGACACUGAGGCGCGACAGCGUGGGGAGCAAACAGG
rnacentral:rRNA from 1 species